GGCCGCGGGAAUUCGAUUCAGGCCUAACACAUGCAAGUCGAACGGAAAGACCAAGCUUGCAGGGUACUCGAGUGGCGAACGGGUGAGUAACACGUGGGUGAUCUGCCCUGCACUUCGGGAUAAGCCUGGGAAACUGGGUCUAAUACCGGAUAGGAGCCAUUUUUAGUGUGAUGGUUGGAAAGUUUUUUCGGUGUAGGAUGAGCUCGCGGCCUAUCAGCUUGUUGGUGGGGUAAUGGCCUACCAAGGCGGCGACGGGUAGCCGGCCUGAGAGGGUGGACGGCCACAUUGGGACUGAGAUACGGCCCAGACUCCUACGGGAGGCAGCAGUGGGGAAUAUUGC
rnacentral:rRNA from 1 species